GAUGAAGAACGUAGCGAAAUGCGAUAAGUAGUGUGAAUUGCAGAAUUCAGUGAAUCAUCGAAUCUUUGAACGCACAUUGCGCCCCUUGGUAUUCCAUGGGGCAUGCCUGUUCGAGCGUCAUUUGUACCUUCAAGCUUUGCUUGGUGUUGGGUGUUUGUCUCGCCUUUGCGUGUAGACUCGCCUUAAAAUAAUUGGCAGCCGGCGUAUUGAUUUCGGAGCGCAGUACAUCUCGCGCUUUGCACUCAUAACGACAGCGUCCAAAAGUACAUUUUACACUCUUGACCUCGGAUCAGGUAGGGAUACCCGCUGAACUUAAGCAUAACAAUAAGCGGAGGA
rnacentral:misc_RNA from 1 species